rnacentral:rRNA from 1 species
CGCGAUUCGCCCUUCGGGGUGCAGCAGGCGCGAAAACUUUACAAUGCUGGAAACAGCGAUUGGGGGACUUUGAGUGCCAGGAUACAAUUCUGGCUGUCGUCGUGCCUAAAAAGCACGGCAUAGCAAGGGCCGGGCAAGACCGGUGCCAGCCGCCGCGGUAACACCGGCGGCUCGAGUGGUAACCGCUAUUAUUGGGUCUAAAGGGUCUGUAGCCGGCUGAAAAAGUCUCUUGGGAAAUCCGGCAGCUUAACUGUCGGGCUUUCAGGAGAUACUCUUCGGCUCGAGACCGGGAGAGGUGAGAGGUACUUCAUGGGUAGGGGUGAAAUCUUGUAAUCCUUGAAGGACCACCAGUGGCAAAGGCGUCUCACCAGAACGGAUCUGACGGCAAGGGACGAAAGCUAGGGGCACGAACCGGAUUAGAUACCCGGGUAGUCCUAGCCGUAAACGAUACUCGCUAGGUGUCGGCCACGGUGCGACCGUGGUCAGUGCCGUAAGGAAGCCGUGAAGCGAGCCACCUGGGAAGUACGGCCGCAAGGCUGAAACUUAAAGGAAUUGGCGGGGGAGCAC